GGGGUUGUGGCUCAGUGGCAGAGCAUCUGUCCAGCAAGCAGAAGGUCCCAGGUUCAAUUCCUGCCACCUCCA